rnacentral:rRNA from 1 species
AUUGAACGCUGGCGGAAUGCUUUACACAUGCAAGUCGAGCGGCAGCACGGGGGCAACCCUGGUGGCGAGCGGCGAACGGGUGAGUAAUACAUCGGAACAUGCCCAGUCGUGGGGGAUAACACUUCGAAAGAAGUGCUAAUACCGCAUACGUCCUGAGGGGGAAAGCGGGGGAUCGCAAGACCUCGCGCGAUUGGAGUGGCCGAUAUCAGAUUAGCUAGUUGGUGGGGUAAAGGCCUACCAAGGCAACGAUCUGUAGCUGGUCUGAGAGGAUGAUCAGCCACACUGGGACUGAGACACGGCCCAGACUCCUACGGGAGGCAGCAGUGGGGAAUUUUGGACAAUGGGGGCAACCCCGAUCCAGCCAUUCCGCGUGAGUGAAGAAGGCCUUCGGGUUGUAAAGCUCUUUCGGCAGGAACGAAACGGUGAGCUCUAACAUAGCUUGCUAAUGACGGUACCUGAAGAAGAAGCACCGGCUAACUACGUG